UCCGCCUCCACACCCAUGUCGUGCAGACGUCUGUCCCUCAAAAAAGCUAGGCUCGCCGCGCGGAUUGCCACGCCUGCGCCACGCGGGGGUUCGCCGACGUGCGCGAACCCAGCCUCUAGCUCCACACCGCCAUUUCCCAUGAUCAACUACUGCACAAAGAACAGUCAUGUCCAAGAAUCUCCGGAAACCACGAUGCUUUUACCAUCUACAUUGGCUUGCCCUUGCUCCGGUAUGGCCUAUUUGCCUAACGGUUUUGUCCGGUAGUGACCAGAACCAGAGUACGUGCCGUCCCUGAUCACCGCUCGUGGUUGUGCCGAUCUGACUGUUCACCCACCGUUCAUGAAGAUGGACAGAUGGUGGUCGCUCAUGAGGUGUUCGACGGAAUGCGGGACUGGGAAUCAGAGCAGGGAAGAAGACAGGACAGCCGUUGGUCGCCGUGGCAACUGGUAAGAAAGGCGAGAAGAGAAGAUGGGAAGGGUAAGAGGAAGAAGAAGAGCUGCGAGAGAAUGACAGGUGUGCCCCGGCUGCCCUUUAUUUUUUUUCCCUGUCAUUUCUUUUGUGUUGCAUAUGGCGACAUGACAACCUGAAGCAUGGCUGACCAGGAGGCGUUGACAUAAGCACAAUAUUAGGAAUAAACCAGGUCAAAUCAAACCCCAAACAGCCUGGCGGUAAAUUUAACUGUAUGAGGGUGUACUAAAUAUAUAGCAGAAAUUUUACUUGCCUCUCCACGUAUGGCACAAACCAACCUCAAAUUAUCAUUCAUAGCAUUUCCAUCCACAUCCAUCAUCAUGUCUUAUUUUGUUUAUCUCUUAGACAAGUUGGCGCGUGCGAAUAUACCUAAAUAAAUACCCCUGGCUCUGAGCCGAGUUGAUAGAUACAGUUGCUCCUCUCUGGACUGAAUGGCCAGAUGUGGUUGUUCGACAUACUUACAUAGGCACGCAUUUGAAUGCCCAAUAUCACAAGCAGAAGGGCCGCAACAUCACAAGCCACAAAAUAGCAGUGAAAAAUGCCAUUUGAAUAUUUGAUAGCAGAGCAAAUUAAGCAACAAACGUUUAGUGUCACUUGUGUUUUUGUUCGUUGUUUAUCCCUGUCACAGAAAUAUAACCUGAAUCCUGAUUCUGGCCAAGUGAAUGACAUGUUAGAUGCGAAUCGUGGGAAUGGAUAGAGUAGAUGGUGAUGCUAUUUUCGCAUAACUUUAAUUCUCAUGUCUUGCUAUCUGAAGUCUGUCUCAAGUUAUUUUUUCCCG